GCAAGCCUGAUCCAGCCAUGCCGCGUGAGUGAAGAAGGCCUUCGGGUUGUAAAGCUCUUUCGGCCGGGAAGAAAUCGCACUCUCUAACAUAGGGUGUGGAUGACGGUACCGGACUAAGAAGCACCGGCUAACUACGUGCCAGCAGCCGCGGUAAUACGUAGGGUGCGAGCGUUAAUCGGAAUUACUGGGCGUAAAGCGUGCGCAGGCGGUUUUGUAAGACAGAUGUGAAAUCCCCGGGCUUAACCUGGGAACUGCGUUUGUGACUGCAAGGCUAGAGUACGGCAGAGGGGGGUGGAAUUCCACGUGUAGCAGUGAAAUGCGUAGAGAUGUGGAGGAACACCGAUGGCGAAGGCAACCCCCUGGGCCUGUACUGACGCUCAUGCACGAAAGCGUGGGGAGCAAACAGGAUUAGAUACCCUGGUAGUCCACGCCCUAAACGAUGUCGACUAGUCGUUCGGAGCAGCAAUGCACUGAGUGACGCAGCUAACGCGUGAAGUCGACC
rnacentral:rRNA from 1 species